GAUGAACGCUGGCGGCGUGCCUAAUACAUGCAAGUCGAGCGAACAGAUGAGGAGCUUGCUCCUCUGACGUUAGCGGCGGACGGGUGAGUAACACGUGGAUAACCUACCUAUAAGACUGGGAUAACUUCGGGAAACCGGAGCUAAUACCGGAUAAUAUAUUGAACCGCAUGGUUCAAUAGUGAAAGACGGUUUUGCUGUCACUUAUAGAUGGAUCCGCGCCGCAUUAGCUAGUUGGUAAGGUAACGGCUUACCAAGGCAACGAUGCGUAGCCGACCUGAGAGGGUGAUCGGCCACACUGGAACUGAGACACGGUCCAGACUCCUACGGGAGGCAGCAGUAGGGAAUCUUCCGCAAUGGGCGAAAGCUUGACGGAGCAACGCCGCGUGAGUGAUGAAGGUCUUCGGAUCGUAAAACUCUGUUAUUAGGGAAGAACAAAUGUGUAAGUAACUAUGCACGUCUUGACGGUACCUAAUCAGAAAGCCACGGCUAACUACGUG
rnacentral:rRNA from 1 species